GAUGAACGCUAGCUACAGGCUUAACACAUGCAAGUCGAGGGGAAACGACAUCGAAAGCUUGCUUUUGAUGGGCGUCGACCGGCGCACGGGUGAGUAACGCGUAUCCAACCUGCCCACCACUUGGGGAUAACCUUGCGAAAGUAAGACUAAUACCCAAUGACGUCUCUAGAAGACAUCUGAAAGAGAUUAAAGAUUUAUCGGUGAUGGAUGGGGAUGCGUCUGAUUAGCUUGUUGGCGGGGUAACGGCCCACCAAGGCGACGAUCAGUAGGGGUUCUGAGAGGAAGGUCCCCCACAUUGGAACUGAGACACGGUCCAAACUCCUACGGGAGGCAGCAGUGAGGAAUAUUGGUCAAUAGACGAGAGUCUGAACCAGCCAAGUAGCGUGCAGGAUGACGGCCCUAUGGGUUGUAAACUGCUUUUAUAAGGGAAUAAAGUGAGUCUCGUGAGACUUUUUGCAUGUACCUUAUGAAUAAGGACCGGCUAAUUCCGUG
rnacentral:rRNA from 1 species